GUGAACGCUGGCGGUAGGCCUAACACAUGCAAGUCGAACGGCAGCACAGUAAGAGCUUGCUCUUACGGGUGGCGAGUGGCGGACGGGUGAGGAAUACAUCGGAAUCUACUUUUUCGUGGGGGAUAACGUAGGGAAACUUACGCUAAUACCGCAUACGACCUACGGGUGAAAGCAGGGGAUCUUCGGACCUUGCGCGAUUGAAUGAGCCGAUGUCGGAUUAGCUAGUUGGCGGGGUAAAGGCCCACCAAGGCGACGAUCCGUAGCUGGUCUGAGAGGAUGAUCGGCCACACUGGAACUGAGACAUGGUCCAGACUCCUACGGGAGGCAGCAGUGGGGAAUAUUGGACAAUGGGCGCGAGCCUGAUCCAGCCAUACCGCGUGGGUGAAGAAGGCCUUCGGGUUGUAAAGCCCUUUUGUUGGGAAAGAAAAGCAGCAGGUUAAUACCCCGCUGUUCUGACGGUACCCAAAGAAUAAGCACCGGCUAACUUCGUG
rnacentral:rRNA from 1 species